AUGACCUACGCGGGAAGAUUAAACUACCAACGGGGACAUAUCUUAUGCUUCACAGAGUUGUGGCUGAACGACGACACUAUCAACAUACAGCUGGCUGGUUAAACACUAGAUAGAACAGCAUUAUCUGUGCAUGUAUUCAAAAAUCUUUGGACGACGUACUUCCACAGGGCUGCCAUCUACAAAGUUCACUCAAAAAGGCUAUAGUUCUGAACCACGUUAGAUUUUUCGUUUUAAUUCACAUUCUCAUCUCUUUUAAGCUUCAAUUGGUUAAUGGCUAAUUGCUCAGUUAUCACUUGGCUCAUGUAAAUUCUGUAGUUUCCCCUCUAAACAUCCUAAGUUCAACAUCCUCAUAGUGUUCACAUGUUUCUCAUGUAAAUGUUGUUGCUACAUAAAAAUAUUAAAUAAACAAUUUAUUUCGGAAAUAUUCAA